rnacentral:tRNA from 1 species
GGAGAAAUACUCAAGAGGCUGAAGAGGCACGCUUGGAAAGCGUGUAGAGCUUAAAAGGCUGCGAGGGUUCAAAUCCCUCUUUCUCCGCCA